GACGAACGCUGGCGGCGUGCUUAACACAUGCAAGUCGAACGGAAAGGCCCUGCUUUUGUGGGGUGCUCGAGUGGCGAACGGGUGAGUAACACGUGAGUAACCUGCCCUUGACUUUGGGAUAACUUCAGGAAACUGGGGCUAAUACCGGAUAGGAGCUCCUGCUGCAUGGGGGGGGUUGGAAAGUUUCGGCGGUUGGGGAUGGACUGGCGGCUUAUCAGCUAGUUGGUGGGGUAGUGGCGUACCAAGGCUUUGACGGGUAGCCGGCCUGGGAGGGUGGCCGGCGACAUUGGGCCUGAGGGAGGCACCAGUCGCGUACCUGCCGCAGCAGUGGGGAGCAUGGCGGAACGACGCCAAGCGAGAUACGGCAACCUCCCGAUCGUGAUGCUCUCUUUCGAGGGGUAAACCAAUUUGUACGGAGCCGUAGCGGUAUUGACGGUAACUGGUCAGAAAGCACCGGCUAACUACGUG
rnacentral:rRNA from 1 species